GGGGGUGUGUGGGUUGAGCAUCUCCCACUAGAGGUGGGGGGAGAAGUGGGAGCUCUUGGGGGCUGGUGGGAGCCAAACAGAACUGUGGGAACAGGUGCUUGAUUCCUGCCAAGCAGACACUUCUGGACUAUUUCCUGGGGGUCAAGCCUCUGGGGGGGGGUGCUGGGUUGGGGUGUCCCCAGAUUACUGCUCUGGUAGCUUCGGAUGCCAGCAGUGAAAAGUCAAGAAAGCACAAAGUUCUAGGGGCUAAAGGACCCUGAGAGCCUCCUAGGACAGGCCUACGCUGUUCUCUUGGGUCCCAGAAAAGAGGAGGCUGUCAGGCCUCUCUGAAGGAGAGUCCGGCGGUGGUUCUUACCAGGCCAGUGUUCUAGAACCUCAUUGUUUCACAGGUCUCCAAGCCAGGAGCCAACUGGAACUCUGAUGCCUGCCCAAGUCCCCAUGCCAGGCCGACUGCAGCCACAUGGAUGCUGGUGGGCAUGUGGGAUUCAGGAGUCUCCACUGAUCUGUGCCAGUCUGGAAGGCCACGAUCGCACCCCGAAACACCUGGAGCGUCCACACAGCUCAUGCCCAGCAGCCCCAGAAGGUCACGCUGCCGCCAUCUUGUGGGCUCUGAAUUGUGCUCUUUCAACAGGUGGAUUUAUGGUAUGUGAAUUAUAUUUCAAUAAAGCUGUUACCAAAACAAAAACCAUAAAAAGGGAACCUGAGGUUAUUUGUGGGUAUUAGGACAUCUGGUGCCUCAUGGUAGUCCAGCUGUGGUUUUGAUCUGCUGGCCUCUCCUCCUUGUCAUCUGAUCCCUCUCUUCACAUUACCUGGAAGGAAGAGCUGCUAUUCCUUUCCCUCAGUCCCUAUUCUAGCUCUUGUUUUUCUCUAAAACUGUGGGGUGGGGCUAUGGUGCUGGGGGAGACCAGUUGCUUGACCAGAAGAACUCCCUUGACCAGUCUUGGUCCAAACUCCAGUGGCCAGCCUAUGUGGGAAGGCAAGUGUGGACCCUGACUGCCAAGGGAGUCCAGAGAGGGGUGCUGAGCUAAUCCAAAGCAGAGGGCCUUGGGCAAGUGUAGGCAAUGUCGCUUACUGACCAGCCUCCAUCUGGCUCCUCAGAGCCACAAAUUGAGUUAGGUCAGUUCUGACGCAGGCUGCCAAUGAUAGGCUUUGCCUCUGUUUGGGAUCUGAAGUCUGGGGCCCUGACCCAGGAUCGCAGGAAUAGGGGCCAAAGGAACUUUUGAGACUCAGUAACCCCAACCCAAU
rnacentral:lncRNA from 1 species